UACGUAGGGUGCAAGCGUUGUCCGGAUUUAUUGGGCUUAAAGGGUGCGUAGGCGGCCUGUUAAGUCAGUGGUGAAAUCCAACAGCUCAACUGUUGAUGUGCCAAUGAUACUGACAGGCUUGAGUACAGACGAGGUAGGCGGAAUUGACAGUGUAGCGGUGAAAUGCAUAGAUAUUGGGAGGAACACCGGUGGCGAAGGCAGCUUGCUGGCCUGUAACUGACGCUGAGGCACGAAAGUGUGGGGAUCAAACAGG
rnacentral:rRNA from 1 species